rnacentral:tRNA from 1 species
GGGGUUGUGGCUCAGUGGUAGAGUACUCAGCUAGCAUGUGUGAGACCCUGGGUUCAAUCCUCAGCACCA